rnacentral:rRNA from 1 species
UACGUAGGGUCCGAGCGUUGUCCGGAAUUAUUGGGCGUAAAGAGCUCGUAGGCGGCUUGUCGCGUCGGCUGUGAAAACCUGGGGCUCAACCCCGGGCCUGCAGCCGAUACGGGCAAGCUAGAAUUCGGUAGGGGAGACUGGAAUUCCUGGUGUAGCGGUGAAAUGCGCGGAUAUCAGGAGGAACACCGGUGGCGAAGGCGGGUCUCUGGGCCGAUAUUGACGCUGAGGAGCGAAAGCGUGGGGAGCGAACAGG